rnacentral:rRNA from 1 species
AACGAACGCUGGCGGCAGGCCUAACACAUGCAAGUCGAGCGCGCCCUUCGGGGUGAGCGGCGGACGGGUGAGUAACGCGUGGGAACGUGCCCUUUUCUACGGAAUCGCCUCGGGAAACUGAGAGUAAUACCGUAUAUGCCCUUUGGGGGAAAGAUUUAUCGGAAAAGGAUCGGCCCGCGUUGGCUUAGGUAGUUGGUGGGGUAAUGGCCUACCAAGCCGACGAUCCAUAGCUGGUUUGAGAGGAUGAUCAGCUACACUGGGACUGAGACACGGCCUAGACUCCUACGGGAGGCAGCAGUGGGGAAUCUUAGACAAUGGGGGCAACCCUGAUCUAGCCAUGCCGCGUGAGUGAUGAAGGCCUUAGGGUUGUAAAGCUCUUUCAGCUGGGAAGAUAAUGACGGUACCAGCAGAAGAAGCCCCGGCUAACUCCGUG